rnacentral:piRNA from 1 species
UACCGGUCUAAAGUUUUGAGAUUCCUGGGG